CAGCAAGAAGGGGCUGACUCUGAACCAGGAAGCUGUGCUGUGCUCACCAGACACUUUGAUCUUGGACUUCUCAGCCUCCAGAACUAUGGGGUUCUGCUCUUGUCACCCAGACUGGAGUGAAGUGGCACAAUCUCGGCUCACUGCAACCUCCGCCUCCCGGGUUCAAGCGAUUCCCCUGCCUCAGCCUCCAGAGUAGCUGGACUGCAGGCGCACGCCACCACUCCUGGCUAAUUUUUGUAUUUUUAGUAGAGACGGGGUUUCACCAUGUUGGCCAAGAUGUUCUUGAUCUUCUCACCUUGUGAUCCGCCCACCUCAACCUCCCAAAGUGCUGAGAGACUAAGACACCUUUCUAGACAGAGAGGAGGCCGAUGGCAGACAUUCUCAGAUAGGUUUGUAGCUAUUGACCUGGCUGCAUCAAAGGAGAUGAAAUCCCUUAGAAAUUGACAGCUUCUAUGAAAUUUACAAUCAAGAAGGCAUAAGAACAACUGCUGCAGCUUCAGAACUAUGCAGAAAAUAAAAUGUCAACAGCUGGGAGAAAAAAUUCUAAGUGAGCAACAGAGCCAGUGAAAAAUAUCACCAGUAGAGCAGGCACCUGAGACAGGGAAAUGGCACCCACUAAGUGCAGGUCUACAGGGGCUGACCUUGCAGACCAUUUAUGGAUCCCAAGUUACCAAAACCCUUAUUUGAUUAUGAACUGCAUAGUAGAUACCAAUACAUCAGAGCAUUGUCUCAAUGUUAAUAUCUAUCUGUGCUGAUUGUAUUGUGGUCAUGUAACAGAAUGAAUGCCCUUGUUCUUAAGUGAUACGUGGGAAAAUAUUUGAGGGGUGAAGUGUCAUGAUGUUUGCUACUUACUCUCACAUGCUUUGGCAAAAAUAAAACAUCUCUCUCUCUCC
rnacentral:lncRNA from 10 species